rnacentral:rRNA from 1 species
UCAAUUGGAAAGAGGAGUGGCGGACGGGUGAGUAACACGUGGGUAACCUACCCAUCAGAGGGGAUAACACUUGGAAACAGGUGCUAAUACCGCAUAACAGUUUAUGCCGCAUGGCAUAAGAGUGAAAGGCGCUUUCGGGUGUCGCUGAUGGAUGGACCCGCGGUGCAUUAGCUAGUUGGUGAGGUAACGGCUCACCAAGGCCACGAUGCAUAGCCGACCCUGAGAGGGUGAUCGGCCACACUGGGACUGAGACACGGCCCAGACUCC